rnacentral:rRNA from 1 species
AACGGCCGCGGUAUCCUAACCGUGCGAAGGUAGCGUAAUCACUUGUUCUUUAAAUGAGGACUAGUAUGAAUGGCACCACGAGGGUUAAACUGUCUCCUUUUUUUAAUCAGUGAAACUAAUCUCCCCGUGAAGAAGCGGGGAUUCUUUUAUAAGACGAGAAGACCCUAUGGAGCUUUAAACAAGUUAACACCUGCUACUAAUCUUCACUUUCCUGAACCACCACAUUAAGUAUAGCACCUCUGAUUAACAGUUUUCGAUUGGGGUGAUCAUGGAGCAAAAAUUAACCUCCACGACGAAAAGGAACACCUCCUUGAGCCAAAAGCUACAACUUUAAGCACUAAAAAACUAACGCACUUUGACCCAAUUCUUUGAACAACGAACCAAGUUACCCUAGGGAUAACAGCGCAAUCCACUUUAAGAGCUCCUAUCGACAAGUGGGUUUACGACCUCGAUGUUGGAUCAGGGUAUCCCAGUGGUG